GCUAGGUGUGGAGGCUUAUGCCUGUAAUCCCAGCACUUUGGGAGGCCGAGGUGGGCAGAUCACCUGAGGUCAGAAGUUCAAGGCCAACAUGGUGAAACCACAUCUCUACUAAAAAUGCAAAAAAAAUUAGCCAGGCAUGGUGGUGCACGCCUGUAAUCCCAGCUAGUAUUUUUAGUAGAGAUGUGGUUUUCACCAUGUUGGCCUUGAACUUCUGACCUCAGGUGAUCUGCCCACCUCGG
rfam:Nomascus leucogenys chromosome 24, whole genome shotgun sequence.